rnacentral:rRNA from 1 species
AGCGAACGCUGGCGGCAGGCUUAACACAUGCAAGUCGAGCGGGCGUAGCAAUACGUCAGCGGCAGACGGGUGAGUAACGCGUGGGAACGUACCUUUUGGUUCGGAACAACACAGGGAAACUUGUGCUAAUACCGGAUAAGCCCUUACGGGGAAAGAUUUAUCGCCGAAAGAUCGGCCCGCGUCUGAUUAGCUAGUUGGUGAGGUAACGGCUCACCAAGGCGACGAUCAGUAGCUGGUCUGAGAGGAUGAUCAGCCACAUUGGGACUGAGACACGGCCCAAACUCCUACGGGAGGCAGCAGUGGGGAAUAUUGGACAAUGGGCGCAAGCCUGAUCCAGCCAUGCCGCGUGAGUGAUGAAGGCCCUAGGGUUGUAAAGCUCUUUGUGCGGGAAGAUAAUGACGGUACCGCAAGAAUAAGCCCCGGCUAACUUCGUGCCAGCAGCCGCGGU